rnacentral:misc_RNA from 1 species
GAUGAAGAACGCAGCGAAAUGCGAUAAGUAAUGUGAAUUGCAGAAUUCAGUGAAUCAUCGAAUCUUUGAACGCAUCUUGCGCUCCUUGGUAUUCUGAGGAGCAUGCCUGUUUGAGUGUCAUUAAAUUCUCAACUACACUGACUUUGAAUUGGUGUGGCUUGGAUUUGGGGGGAAAAUUGUUGUGGGCUUUUUGUAUAGUCUGCUCCCCUGAAAUUGAUUAGCGGUACCUUUGUGGAACUGUCUACAGGUGUGAUAAUUAUCUACAUCUUAGACAUCUGUUGGAAUGCUGCUUUCUAAACCUUACUUGUAUUGACAAUCUUGACCUCAAAUCAGGUAGGACUACCCGCUGAACUUAAGCAUAUCAAUAAGCGGAGGA